rnacentral:sRNA from 13 species
UGUGGACAGCACACAGUCAGUAGUGCGAAACAGGCAGCUAAAGCGCUGAGUUGGCACACUCGACCAAACUUUGCACGGCUUCUGCGGUUGAGUUUACAUGCCACAACACCUUUUUCCAACUGAACAUUGGCGAUGAUGCUAUGGGCAACAUGAGGUGUACGACUUGUGCGCCAACAACAACACCUUGUAUACAACUGUCCCCACUGCUCCCACCCACUCUGUGACCAAUAAGUUUUCACGCCUAAGCAUUGUUUACGGAACAUUUAACAAUUGCAGCGUCAGCGAAAACAAAAACACAACUCAUUUUAAAUGUAGAGAAGAUGCGGACUUAAAGUGGCUUUAAACAGCCGCUGGACACAUACUUAGUGAGGGGCACUGUCGACCAGUGUAGAGCGGUUGCGGAGGCAGACAUUCGAACGGCGGUAGGACGAAAGGACGAGCCAAGCAAUUGGCUACAUUGUAAGGAUGCGCUGGUGGUGGUGCUGCCUGGCUGGCUGGCUGGCCCAUUCAAUUUUCCGCUUUUUCCAUGCCUGCUUUGCUCAAGCGACAGAUGGACAUUUGGAGAGACAGAUGAAGAGGCGGACAGUCGGACAGACCGGCGUCGUCUUUGAACUUUUCACAAUGCUCUCGUCUUGGGCUGUCCUGAAACAUUUGUACCACACUUUAUGCAGGACAUUUCCGCGCCGCAUGUCCAGUUCCUGGUUGGAUUCCAAAUGGUGGCUGACUGGCUGAAUGGCUGGCUGGCUGGCUUGCUGGAUAGUUACUUUGCUCGAUUUCGUCUUGGCUCUGUUUAUUUCCGCUUUUCCAUCUGGCUUUGUUUCCUGAUGACCGUCUAUGGCGCGUAAAAAAUCAAUUUACUUUUAUCUGUUUCAGUUGCUGUCUCUUGUCUUGAGAAAUGCCAUGCAAAUCACAACUUUGUAUCUAAUUGCUGCAAUUUGAUAUCGCGUUAACCUUAACAGGCCUUUGUGUCUGUUGUAUGUGUUUAGUUUUGCAUAUAUCGUGCCAAUGAUGUUUAUUUUCAAUGAAUACGAUAUUCCAAAAAUUACUCCUAUAUCGAAUAAUUAGCCACGUUGAAUCACCAAGAAUAUGUGCUCAGCAAAGCAAAUGCUGCAAAUGAAUAAGUUUUAGUUGGCCAUACAGUGCCUCAUGUUUGCAUUCCGCACUGCAGGUCACUGGGUUUAAUUUAUUUGCUUAUUUAGCUUUCGUUGACUUUCGUCUGCCCGGCUCGUACACUCAGCGAAACAUCUCUCUGAUUUUUAGAAAUCUGCCACACCUUGGUGAAGUAUUAUUCCGAAAGUAUAUUUGUAAAUUCUAAUUAUGUUUAUAUAUGUUUACACAGAAAACAGUCGAGGGAAUAAUCUUUUUUACUAGUUACUGAAUUUUUAA